rnacentral:rRNA from 1 species
AGUGAACGCUGGCGGCGUGCUUAACACAUGCAAGUCGAACGAGAACGGAAUAUAGCUUGCUAUAUUUGUCAGCUAAGUGGCGCACGGGUAAGUAAUGUAUAGAUAACCUGCCCUCUAGAAAGGAAUAACAGUUGGAAACGACUGCUAAUGCCCUAUAUGCCUUUAAUACAUAAGUAUGCAAGGGAAACGCUUUAGUGCUAGAGGAUGGGUCUGUAUGGUAUCAGUUAGUUGGUGAGGUAAUGGCUCACCAAGACUAUGACGCCUAACUGGUUUGAGAGGAUGAUCAGUCACACUGGAACUGAGACACGGUCCAGACUCCUACGGGAGGCAGCAGUGGGGAAUAUUGCACAAUGGACGAAAGUCUGAUGCAGCAACGCCGCGUGGAGGAUGACACAUUUCGGUGCGUAAACUCCUUUUAUAUAGGAAGAUAAUGACGGUACUAUAUGAAUAAGCACCGGCUAACUCCGUGCCAGCCGCCGCGGUAA